rnacentral:tRNA from 1 species
GCCGGUUUAGCUCAGUGGUAGAGCAGCGGUUUUGUAAACCGCUGGUCAUCGGUUCGAAUCCGAUAACCGGCUCCC